rnacentral:rRNA from 1 species
UACAGAGGUCUCAAGCGUUGUUCGGAUUCAUUGGGCGUAAAGAGCUCGUAGGCGGCUUGCUAAGUCAGGUGUGAAACCUCCAGGCUCAACCUGGAGCCGCCACCUGAUACUGGUAUGGCUAGAGUCCGGUAGGGGACCACGGAAUUCCUGGUGUAGCGGUGAAAUGCGCAGAUAUCAGGAGGAACACCGGUGGCGAAGGCGGCUCUCUGGGACGUGACUGACGCUGAGACGCGAAAGCGUGGGGAGCGAACAGG